rnacentral:rRNA from 1 species
UACGUAGGGUGCGAGCGUUAAUCGGAAUUACUGGGCGUAAAGCGUGCGCAGGCGGUUUUGUAAGCCAGAUGUGAAAUCCCCGGGCUUAACCUGGGAAUGGCAUUUGGGACUGCAAGGCUCGAGUGCGGCAGAGGAGACUGGAAUUCCUGGCGUAGCAGUGAAAUGCGUAGAUAUCAGGAGGAACACCGGCGGUGUAGACGGCUUUCUGGACCGUAGCUGACGCUGAGACACGAAAGCGUGGGUAGCAAACAGG